rnacentral:tRNA from 1 species
ACGCACGUGGCUUAAUGGCUAGGGUAUUCGGCUCACGAUCGUAAAGUCAUGGGUUCGAUUCCCAGCAGUGGGUU